GACGAACGCUGGCGGCGUGCCUAAUACAUGCAAGUAGAACGCACAGGAUGCACCGUAGUUUACUACACCGUAUUCUGUGAGUUGCGAACGGGUGAGUAACGCGUAGGUAACCUGCCUGGUAGCGGGGGAUAACUAUUGGAAACGAUAGCUAAUACCGUAUAAGAACAUUUACUGCAUGGUAGAUGUUUAAAAGGUGCAAGAGCAUCACUACCAGAUGGACCUGCGUUGUAUUAGCUAGUUGGUGAGGUAACGGCUCACCAAGGCAACGAUACAUAGCCGACCUGAGAGGGUGAUCGGCCACACUGGGACUGAGACACGGCCCAGACUCCUACGGGAGGCAGCAGUAGGGAAUCUUCGGCAAUGGGGGGAACCCUGACCGAGCAACGCCGCGUGAGUGAAGAAGGUUUUCGGAUCGUAAAGCUCUGUUGUUAAGGAAGAACGUGUGUGAGAGUGGAAAGUUCAC
rnacentral:rRNA from 1 species